GACGAACGCUGGCGGCGUGCUUAACACAUGCAAGUCGAACGGUGAACCUCUUCGGAGGGGAUCAGUGGCGAACGGGUGAGUAACACGUGGGCAACCUGCCCCCGGCUCUGGGAUAACUCCAAGAAAUUGGGGCUAAUACCGGAUGUUCACCGCUUCCCGCAUGGGUGGUGGUGGAAAGGGUUUCCGGCUGGGGAUGGGCCCGCGGCCUAUCAGUUUGUUGGUGGGGUAGUGGCCUACCAAGGCGACGACGGGUAGCCGGCCUGAGAGGGUGACCGGCCACACUGGGACUGAGACACGGCCCAGACUCCUACGGGAGGCAGCAGUGGGGAAUAUUGCGCAAUGGGCGGAAGCCUGACGCAGCGACGCCGCGUGGGGGAUGACGGCCUUCGGGUUGUAAACCUCUUUCAGCAGGGACGAAGCGCAAGUGACGGUACCUGCAGAAGAAGCACCGGCCAACUACGUG
rnacentral:rRNA from 1 species